GAUGAAGAACGUAGCGAAAUGCGAUAAGUAAUGUGAAUUGCAGAAUUCAGUGAAUCAUAGAAUCUUUGAACGCACAUUGCGCCCCUCGGUAUUCCGAGGGGCAUGCCUGUUCGAGCGUCAUUAUAACCCUUCAAGCUCAGCUUGGUGUUGGGGCCUGCUGUAACUGGUAGCCCUUAAAAUCAGUGGCAGUGCUAUUAGGCUCUAAGCGUAGUAAUUCUUCUCGCUAUAGUGUGUAGUGAGCGCUUGCCAGAACCCCAAACUUUUAUAUGAUUGACCUCGGAUCAGGUAGGGAUACCCGCUGAACUUAAGCAUAUCAAUAAGCGGAGGA
rnacentral:misc_RNA from 1 species